CAGCCGCCGCGGGAAUACAGAGGGUGCGAGCGUUAAUCGGAUUUACUGGGCGUAAAGCGUGCGUAGGCGGCUUCUUAAGUCGGAUGUGAAAUCCCUGAGCUUAACUUAGGAAUUGCAUUCGAUACUGGGAAGCUAGAGUAUGGGAGAGGAUGGUAGAAUUCCAGGUGUAGCGGUGAAAUGCGUAGAGAUCUGGAGGAAUACCGAUGGCGAAGGCGGCCAUCUGGCCUAAUACUGACGCUGAGGUACGAAAGCAUGGGGAGCAAACAGGAUUAGAUACCCCAGUAGUCCCUGUCUCUUAUAC
rnacentral:rRNA from 1 species